rnacentral:RNase_P_RNA from 1 species
CCAGCCGGCCGGGCGGCCGCACCAGCGAGAGCCGAAAGGUUGCGGGUGAGGAAAGUCCGGGCUCCAUGGAGACACGGUGCCGGCUAACGGCCGGCGGGGGUGACCCCAGGGAAAGUGCCACAGAAAGCAGACCGCCGCGGAUUUUUCCGCGGUAAGGGUGAAAGGGUGGGGUAAGAGCCCACCGCGCGCCUGGCAACAGGAGCGGCACGGCAAACCCCACCGGGAGCAAGACCGAAUAGGGGCGGUUGAGGGGCAACCCUCAGGGCUGUUUCCGGCCCACCGUCCGGGUAGGUCGCGUGAGGCCGGCGGCAACGCCGGUCCAAGACGAAUGGCCGCCACGUUCUCCGCGCCGCAAGGCGUCGAGGGCCAUACAGAACCCGGCUUACAGGCCGGCUGGCAGU